GGACUCGGGGGGAAGUAUGCUCGCAAGAGUGAAACUUAAAGGAAUUGACGGAAGGGCACCACCAGAUGUGGAGCCUGCGGCUUAAUUUGACUCAACACGGGAAAACUUACCAGGUCCAGACAUAGUCAGGAUUGACAGAUUGAAGUUCUUUCAUGAUUCUAUGCAUAGUGGUGCAUGGCCGUUCUUAGUUGGUGGAAUGAUCUGUCAGGUUAAUUCCGAUAACGAACGAGACCCCAGCCAUCUAAAUAGCUGUCUCUACUAUAUAUUAUAGUAGUGUGUGUACUCAAAAUAUACGUACAGCUUCUUAGAGGGACUAUCUGUGUCAACAGGUGGAAGUGUGGGGCAAUAACAGGUCAGUGAUGCCCUUAGAUGCUCUGGGCUGCACGCGCGCUACAAUGGUGCAUUCAGCGAGAUUAACCUGGCUUGAAAAGGCUGGGUAAACUUAAAAGUGCAUCUCAGUUGGGAUAGAUGAUUGCAAUUUUUCAUCUUGAACAAGGAAUAUCUAGUAAACGCAAGUCAUCAACUUGCAUUGAUUACGUCCCUGCCCUUUGUACACACCGCCCGUCGCUCCUACCGAUUGAAUAAUCCGGUGAAUUGAGUGGGUUGGAAGACAUUUUGUGUGUUCUCACAUAAGAUGCCGUCCAAGANGCUCUGUGAACCUUAUUAUUUAGAGGAAGGAGAAGUCG
rnacentral:rRNA from 1 species